UACGAAGGGAGCUAGCGUUGUUCGGAAUCACUGGGCGUAAAGCGCACGUAGGCGGAUGUGUCAGUCAGGGGUGAAAUCCCGGGGCUCAACCUCGGAACUGCCUUUGAUACAGCACGUCUCGAGUCCGGGAGAGGUGAGUGGAACUGCGAGUGUAGAGGUGAAAUUCGUAGAUAUUCGCAAGAACACCAGUGGCGAAGGCGGCUCACUGGCCCGGUACUGACGCUGAGGUGCGAAAGCGUGGGGAGCAAACAGG
rnacentral:rRNA from 1 species